UCAGGUACAUUCCGUAACUGCUGUGUCUAUGCAGACCUAUUUCGAACUACGACCGGAGAGCCAGCAAGCGCUUGAUCGCUGGAACUCUACCUGCCGCGUUUGGCGGACCAUUGACGGGGAUGUUCACGCUCGGCGCGUUCGUGUCCAUGGGUUAACUCCCAUAAGAUUUACGUAAUACCUGCAGUUGAUGAGAUUGGGUACAAAUAAGUAACAAUCAUUGCUUCACACAACCACGCGCUUUUUGCAUAGCUUGUUGCAGAUUGACUUGUAAAAUAGUAUGCAUAUAAUUCCAUUUACGUUAGAUCAGUUUCAUAAACAAUAUGUGUUUGUAAUCAAUUUAAAGGCAACCAGGGCUUCGAUUUCAAUUGGCUUUUCUGGGUAUUGUUCAAUUUCUGUAUAUUUUAGCAGGACGGAGUUUCUAUUGUGUUUUCUGUUCACCUUUAAAAAAAGACAACUUAUCGGGUGUUGAACUUUUUUUAGAUCAAAUAAUUUCUAUGAACUGAUGUCAUCUCAAGAUGCUGAUAUUGUUAGGAAAGUCUCUCUUUAUGUGUACCACUUGAUGUUAUUGAUACCUCAUGAACAUUGAAAUUUGACACAACUCAUACUGUUACAACUGUAUUAAUUACAUGGUUUUUGGACCGGAGGCCUUUAUUUUAAAAUAAAGAAUUCUGUUUUUA